GCCCACGGAGGCCUGGGCUUUGCCUGUGGCUCCCAACAGCCUGCUCUCCACUCAGAAGGUAGAGCAAUUCUGUCAGCAGGGGAGCUGGAUCUCGGUCUUUCCUGAUCGGAAGCUCUCUAAGGGCUGGUCACCUCACCCAGAAUAAGCCUGCUCUGGGGUGUACAGUCUGACGGUCCACAUACAGACUCAGCAGUGAACACUUCCUGAUUUAUGAUGUCCACAGACGCGACUCGGUACCUGCUGUAAGUUGUGACACCAAACUCUAAGACGGAGAAGAACCAGUCCUCUGCCUUUGAGAAGCUUACCGUCUAACUUAUUAGCCAAACAAACCAUACGCAUCAACAGGAGCAACAUGUGUCAUGUUUCAAUCUUCUCACUUCCCCAUAUGACCAAA
ensembl:lncRNA